CAGGAGCCAGGUCUUCCUGGGCGAGAGGUCUGGAGUUUUGGUCACAGCUGCCCCUCAGGGGCGAGUGCAGUGGAAGCUGAACCCUUCGCGGGGCCGGGCUGGCAGGCACCGUGCUCCCCUCCUCCUCCGCCGGCGUCCGUGUCAAGGCCAAGAUUAGUAACGAAUGUUUGAGACUUAAGCUGGGACUCACUGGCAGCCCUCUAAUGCACUGACAACGUUCUAAAGAUUACAGAAAUGAAAUUUGCGCUGAAGAGGAAAGCAAGAACCAUACUGAUACUCCAAGAUCUUCCUAGCUCCUCAGAAAGGUUUAAAGCCAGUGUCACACCUGGAUAACUUUCCUUGCCAUGUUUCUGGGGAGCAAGGUUAACCCCAGGGGAAGUUGGCAGCUUUCCAUAAAGUUGAAGAAGCCGGACACACGACAUGCCUCGCUGUGGGAGGAUUGACGUCCACCUUGAGGGGCGACAG